rfam:Nomascus leucogenys chromosome 23, whole genome shotgun sequence.
GCUGGGCAUGAUAGCAUGUGCCUCUAGUCCCAGCUACUUGGGAGGCUGAAGCAGGAGGAACGCUUGAGCCCAAAAGUUCUGGGCUUGAGUGUCUGCACUAAGUUCAGCAUCAAUAUGGUAACCUCCUGUUAGCGGGGCCUAUGGGGCUGGCAAAGGAGGGGUGAAUAGACCCAAGUAGGAAGCAGAAUAGGUCAUAACUCUGGUGCUGAUCAGUAGUUGGAUCACCUGUGAAUAGCCACCGCACUCCAGCCUGGGCAACAUAGCAAGACCCUAUUUUUU